rnacentral:rRNA from 1 species
UACAGGGGGGGCAAGCGUUGUUCGGAAUUACUGGGCGUAAAGGGCGCGUAGGCGGCCUUCUAAGUCGAACGUGAAAUCCCCGGGCUCAACCCGGGAACUGCGUCCGAUACUGGAAGGCUUGAAUCCGGGAGAGGGAUGUGGAAUUCCAGGUGUAGCGGUGAAAUGCGUAGAUAUCGGGAGGAACACCAGUGGCGAAGGCGACUACCUGGUCUGUUUCUUGACGCUGAGGCGCGAAAGCUAGGGGAGCAAACGGG